CCUACGGGAGGCAGCAGUGGGGAAUUUUGGACAAUGGGCGAAAGCCUGAUCCAGCCAUGCCGCGUGAGUGAAGAAGGCCUUCGGGUUGUAAAGCUCUUUCGCAAGGAAAGAAAUCCUAUCCACUAAUACUGGGUGGGGAUGACGGUACCUUGAUAAGAAGCACCGGCUAACUACGUGCCAGCAGCCGCGGUAAUACGUAGGGUGCGAGCGUUAAUCGGAAUUACUGGGCGUAAAGCGAGCGCAGGCGGUUUUGUAAGUCAGAUGUGAAAUCCCCGGGCUCAACCUGGGAACUGCGUUUGAAACUGCAAGGCUAGAGUAUAGGAGAGGGAGGUAGAAUUCCACGUGUAGCAGUGAAAUGCGUAGAGAUGUGGAGGAAUACCGAUGGCGAAGGCAGCCUCCUGGCCUAAUACUGACGCUCAUGCUCGAAAGCGUGGGGAGCA
rnacentral:rRNA from 1 species